UACGGGGGGGGGCAAGCGUUGUUCGGAAUUACUGGGCGUAAAGGGCUCGUAGGCGGCCAACUAAGUCAGACGUGAAAUCCCUCAGCUUAACUGGGGAACUGCGUCUGAUACUGGAUGGCUUGGAUUCGGGAGAGGAAUGCGGAAUUCCAGGUGUAGCGGUGAAAUGCGUAGAUAUCGCUUGGAACGCCAACGGUGAAAACAGGUUGCUGGGGGUGUGCUGACGCUGAGACACGAAAGCCAGGGGAGCGAACGGG
rnacentral:rRNA from 1 species